rnacentral:rRNA from 1 species
AUUGAACGCUGGCGGCAUGCCUUACACAUGCAAGUCGAACGGCAGCACGGGAGCAAUCCUGGUGGCGAGUGGCGAACGGGUGAGUAAUAUAUCGGAACGUGCCCAGUCGUGGGGGAUAACUACUCGAAAGAGUAGCUAAUACCGCAUACGAUCUACGGAUGAAAGCGGGGGAUCGCAAGACUUCGCGCGAUUGGAGCGGCCGAUAUCAGAUUAGGUAGUUGGUAGGGUAAAAGCCUACCAAGCCUGCGAUCUGUAGCUGGUCUGAGAGGACGACCAGCCCACACUGGAACUGAGACACGGUCCAGACUCCUACGGGAGGCAGCAGUGGGGAAUUUUGGACAAUGGGCGCAAGCCUGAUCCAGCAAUGCCGCGUGCAGGACGAAGGCCUCGGUUGUUAACUAGCUUUGUUACGGUAGCGAAAAGGUACGUCUACUAAUACUAGGGGCGUCGAUGACGGUACCGGUAACGAAUAAGACACCGGACUAACUACGUA